CAGGAGAGCUACAACAAGGAUGUGGUCAAAUAAUGGCUACUGUUCACAUCUCUGCAGUGCAGCCAGUUGGAGCUUCAUUCACACUUUUGGGAAACUCUGUGCUUGAAUACAGUGCCUCAUUUGCACUCCAUCAGUUAUUAUUUUGCUAAGAGAACUCUCAGACACACUUCAGAAUCAUUCUCCAGCUUCUGGAGGGGAGUACUGCAUCCAUCCCCGAGGACAUCAGUUGCGAAGAUCUACUUGAAGACAGAAAAUAUACGGCAGAUGGAGAAAUAAGUGAAGAUAGUGAACAUAUAAAUGAUAUGCCAAAGGAAUCAGAAACUGUAACAAAGUCCUGUUAUAUCGGCCCAGAUCCAGAAUGCAGGCGUGUGCUCUUCAGACUUGGUGGUCAAAGUCCCUUGGUCUCCAAUUAUCUUAAGAUGCACAAUAUAGCUAAUGCUGCAUCGUAUUCCUUGACUUGCAGGAUUAAUCGUACAGAAGUUUACAAACUACCAUAUCCUUUUUAACCCCAACCUGUAUUGUGUUUAUAAACUUUUCUUCUAAACUUUUUUUGCCAAGGUGGUUUAAACCAGCUGGGGUGGGGAGGAGAAGAAUGUGUUACUAAAG
rnacentral:lncRNA from 1 species